rnacentral:rRNA from 1 species
UUCCGGUUGAUCCCGCCGGACCCCACUGCUAUCGAGGUGGGACUAAGCCAUGCCAGUCGAACGACCCGGACUAUGGCGGGGAGUGGCAGACUGCUCAGUAACACGUAGCUAACCUACCCUCGGGACGGGGAUAACCCCGGGAAACUGGGGCUAAUACCCGAUAGGUAUGGAUUCCUGGAAUGGUGCCAUGCCUAAACGUAAGCACAUCCAUGUUUGUGUGCACGCCCGAGGAUGGGGCUGCGGCCGAUCAGGCAGUUGGUGAGGUAACGGCUCACCAAACCUUUGACCGGUACGGGCCAUGAGAGUGGUAGCCCGGAGAUGGGCACUGAGACAAGGGCCCAGGCCCUACGGGGCGCAGCAGGCGCGAAACCUCCACAAUUCACGCAAGUGAGAUGGGGUUACCUCGAGUGCCAUCUGAAGAAGGUGGCUUUUCCAUGGUGUAAUGAGCCGUGGGAAUAAGGGGGGGGCAAGACUGGUGUCAGCCGCCGCGGUAACACCAGCCCCCCGAGUGGUGGGGAUGAUUAUUUGGCCUAAAGCGUCCGUAGCCAGCUCGGUAAAUCUCUCGUUAAAUCCAGCGUCCUAAGCGUUGGGCUGCGAGGGAAACUGCCGAACUAGAGGGUGGGAGAGGUCAGCGGUAUUCCUGGGGUAGGGGCGAAAUCCAUUGAUCCCAGGAGGACCACCAGUGGCGAAGGCUGCUGACUAGAACACGCCUGACGGUGAGGGACGAAAGCUGGGGUAGCGAAUCGGAUUAGAUACCCGAGUAGUCCCAGCCGUAAACGAUGCAGGCUAGGUGUUGGGUCGGCCAUGCGCCGCCUCAGUGCCACAGGGAAAGCCAUUAAGCCUGCCGCCUGGGGAGUACGGGCCGCAAGGCUGAAACUUAAAGGAAUUGGCGGGGGAGCACCACCAGGCGUGAAGCCUGCGGUUUAAUUGGAGUCAACGCCGGG